AAUCUUGCACAAUGCGCGAAAGCGUGAUGCAGCAACGCCGCGUGGGGGAAGAAGGCCUUCGGGUUGUAAACCCCUUUCAGUUGGGACGAAGCUUCGGUGGUGAAUAGCCGCUUGGAGUGACGGUACCUUCACAAGAAGCCCCGGCUAACUACGUGCCAGCAGCCGCGGUAAAACGUAGGAGACAAACGUUAUCCGGAGUUACUGGGCGUAAAGGGCGUGUAGGCGGUUUGUUAAGUCUGGCGUGAAAGCUCUCGGCUAAACCGGGAGAGGUCGGUGGAUACUGGCGAACUAGAGGAUGGUAGAGGCGUGUGGAAUUCCGGGUGUAGUGGUGAAAUGCGUAGAGAUCCGGAGGAACACCAGUGGCGAAGGCGACACGCUGGGCCAUACCUGACGCUAAAGCGCGACAGCAUGGGGAGCAAA
rnacentral:rRNA from 1 species